UGCAUCUAGAUUAGACUUUGAUCCUGGCUCAGAACGAACGCUGGCGGCAGGCUUAACACAUGCAAGUCGAGCGGGCCCUUCGGGGUCAGCGGCAGACGGGUGAGUAACGCGUGGGAACGUACCAUUUGCUACGGAAUAACUCAGGGAAACUUGUGCUAAUACCGUAUGAGCCCCCCUUUAAAAUUUCAGGAAUCAUAAAAUGCCCUGGCAUUUUAUGGGGGGGAAAGAUUUAUCGGCAAAUGAUCGGCCCGCGUUGGAUUAGCUAGUUGGUGGGGUAAAGGCCUACCAAGGCGACGAUCCAUAGCUGGUCUGAGAGGAUGAUCAGCCACACUGGGACUGAGACACGGCCCAGACUCCUACGGGAGGCAGCAGUGGGGAAUAUUGGACAAUGGGCGCAAGCCUGAUCCAGCCAUGCCGCGUGAGUGAUGAAGGCCCUAGGGUUGUAAAGCUCUUUCACCGGUGAAGAUAAUGACGGUAACCGGAGAAGAAGCCCCGGCUAACUUCGUGCCAGCAGCCGCGGUAAUACGAAGGGGGCUAGCGUUGUUCGGAUUUACUGGGCGUAAAGCGCACGUAGGCGGGCUAAUAAGUCAGGGGUGAAAUCCCGGGGCUCAACCCCGGAACUGCCUUUGAUACUGUUAGUCUUGAGUAUGGUAGAGGUGAGU
rnacentral:rRNA from 2 species